CACGUAGUUAGCCGGUGCUUCUUCUCCAGGUACCGUCACUUGCGCUUCGUCCCUAGCGAAAGGAGUUUACAACCCGAAGGCCGUCAUCCCCCACGCGACGUCGCUGCAUCAGGCUUGCGCCCAUUGUGCAAUAUUCCCCACUGCUGCCUCCCGUAGGAGUCUGGGCCGUAUCUCAGUCCCAAUGUGGCCGUACACCCUCUCAGGCCGGCUACCCGUCGACGCCUUGGUAGGCCAUUACCCCACCAACAAGCUGAUAGGCCGCGAGCUCAUCCCACACCGAAAAAACUUUCCACAAUGGCAUCCAAACCAUCGUCAUAUCCGGUAUUAGACCCAGUUUCCCAGGCUUAUCCCGAAGUGCAGGGCAGAUCACCCACGUGUUACUCACCCGUUCGCCACUCGAGUACCCCUGCAAGCAGGAGCCUUUCCGUUCGACUUGCAUGUGUUAAGCACGCCGCCAGCGUUCAUCCUGAGCCAGGAUCAAACUCU
rnacentral:rRNA from 1 species